AUAACGGCCCUUUUUAGGGCCACCCACUCUAUAACGUUAAAUUUUCU
rfam:Octopus bimaculoides Scaffold157571_contig_10, whole genome shotgun sequence.